CUUUGAAUAUGUUUAUUUUCUAAAAAAAUCACAACAAAAUAUUAAUGUUUCACUUGUUACACCAUUUAGAAACACUUUUCUUACACACUUGUCAUAUCAUAAUAAUUCAAUAUUAAACAAAGAAUUAUGACAUUUCACUAUUAUGUUAAUUUUAAACAAUUCUAACAUAUAUCAAUAUCAUAUAGUAUAGUUCAUACUGUAAUAUCACUAUAAUUGUAUAACAAGAACAUUGGUUUUUUAACGCAACAUGCGACACGCCCUACUCGCACAAGUCGCACGCGAUCCACCUGUCUCGAUCGAUCCUCGUCUCGACGCACACUGGCGCCCGAUCCCGGCGGUUCAAUCGAUUCUCGUUCGACUCGGGACACGUGACCCUACGUUGCCCUUCCCCAGUCUACCUGUGCGUGAGUCAAGCAUCGGACUUUCGACAAAUUUCCGUUUCGAUCGAAUCAGAAAUCUCUAACAAAGCUGUUCCCAGCAACAUACAUUCAGGCCAGUGAUUCCGGAUGGAAGCCCGAUGAAACGACAAAACCGGUCUAUCAACCGAGCCAGGUUCGUGCAGGUCCAGUUCAAUUUCAGCACCGAAGGAUUCGUCGUGCACCGAUCAAAGUCCACGAGGAGCAGUUGCACGAUGGUGGUGGUGGCAACGUGUGCGAGUAGGAGUAGCGUGAAGAGAGGGAGGGGGAGGUCCAGUCCUCACCACCCGCACUUACCAGCCGGACAAUAAAGAAAGGAAAGGGAGAGGCGAACAGCCGGUAAGGAGGAACAGAGAUACAUUAAAAGUCAUCCGACUCGUAUAGCCGACAGACCAGUGUGUUGUUCGUAUGGAAAGAUGACCCCAGAGAUGGGACUAGUAUUCGCUGGGACCCCAGACUGAAUUAAACGCUACCAUUAGUUGGAAUGAUGAAGAGAGGAAACACGGAUGUCGUGAAUAUUUCGUCAUUGGCACAUUAAUCUCUUUUUUGCUCGUUGAGCGUUUAGUUUUGAUACAUGGAGAUUAACCUACUUUUGGGUCGAGGAAUUUAUAGAAGAGUAAAAAAAUAUUUUGAAGAUUGGAUUCAAAGUUCCAGGUCUUCAAAAACACGCAGACGACCCUGAAGAAGAAUUGAAUGGUACAGAACAGACAAUGAAUCUACAUUCGUGGAGCACGCUUGCAUAUAGUGAAGGUUCGUUCCAGCUGACCAGGGUCGACCAUUGUCAUGUUAAUGAAUAGAAGACACAUUUUCGAGGUUGAAAAUUGCGCUUGUUCACGGAUUUCGUUCUAUGUAAUUAUCUUAUACCUGAACAUCAUUACGUAUAAUGCAAACUGACUUGAAGAUAUACAGAAGAUAUACAUGAAAAUAAUGAAAUAAGAUGCAACUUUAUAUCAAAUUUAAUUUUAAAACGUAUAUUAGAUUGAAUGUUUGACUUAAUGGGUAUUAUUAAAAUUCUUAAUUUUUAUACAAAUUAAUUAAAAUAAUUAAAAAUAGAAGAACAAAAUAUGAUAUUUUGAACGCUUUUAG